rnacentral:lncRNA from 1 species
GGCAACCAGUUGGGGGUCCACUGCCGCAGUGUGGGAGGUUUGUUCUUUCGCUCUUUGCAAUAAAUCUUGUUACUGCUCACCCUGGGUCCACACUGCUUUUGUGAGUUGUAACACUCACUGGGAAGGUCUGCAGCUUCACUCCUCAAGCCCGGGAGACCGCGAGCCCACCGGGAGAAACGAACAACUCUAGACGCGCCGCCUUAAAAGCGGUAACAUUCACUGCGAAGGUCUGCAGCUUUACUCCUGAGCCAGCGAGACCACGAGCCCACCAGAAGGAAGAAACCCCGAAUACGUCUGAACGUCAGAAGGAACAAACUCCAGAAGCGCCACCUCAAGAGCUGUAACACUCACCGCGAGGGUCCGCGGCUUCAGUCUUGAAGUCAGUGAGACCAAGAACCCACCAAUUCGGGACACAAUACCUAUAAUCCCAGUACUUUAGGAGGCCAGGGCAGGCGGAUCAUCUGAGCUCAGGGGUUGGAGAGGAGCCUGAACAACAUACCGAAACCCCGUCUCUACAAAAAAUACAAAAAUUAACCGGUUGUGGUGGCCGGUGCCGGUAGUUCCAGCUAGUGGGGGACUGCGGAGGUGGGAGCUGAAGCGGGAGGAUCGCUUGAGCCUGGAGGUUGAGGCUGCAGUAAACAGGGAUUGCGUCAGGACACUCCAACCUGGGGAACAGAACGAUGCCCUAAAAGGCUGGCUGAGCUGACUGGAGUCCAAUCUCCUGACUCUCAACCCGCCAGGUUUUCUCCUAACGGACGUCGUAUUUUCACAAGGAUCAAAUGCUGAAGAGAUGAAGUUCCAACGGUGGAGAUUCAAGAGUGGAGAGCAGAAGUGGGGCUGCAGAGCUACCCAGAUCCCAGGAAAAACUACACGUGAGAAAAGGGGACUGACAGCUAUUUAAUAUCUACAAAAUCACUACAUGGUGCUUCC